rnacentral:misc_RNA from 1 species
GAUGAAGAACGUAGCGAAAUGCGAUACGUAAUGUGAAUUGCAGAAUUCAGUGAAUCAUCGAAUCUUUGAACGCAUAUUGCGCUCUCUGGUAUUCCGGAGAGCAUGCUUGUUUGAGUAUCAGUAAACACCUCAACUCCCUUUUCUUUUUUGAAAUUGGAGCUGGACUUGAGUGAUCCCAACGCUUUCUUCCAAGAAAGUGGCGGGUUGCUUGAAAUGCAGCUGCAGCUGAACUUUUCUCUGAGCUAUAAGCAUAUCUAUUUAGUCUGCCUAAAAAACAGAUUAUUACCUUUGCUGCAGCUAACAUAAAGGAGACUAGUUCUUGUGCUGACUGAUGCAGGAUUCACAGAGACAGCUUCGGCUGACUUUGUAAACUCGAUCUCAAAUCAAGUAAGACUACCCGCUGAACUUAAGCAUAUCAAUAAGCGGAGGA